CACACCCUUCGCUGCACGUGCGGUGGGACCUAGUUUUGAGCCAACACUCGUUUGAUGGGAGCUUAGUUCCGAAAGCGCUGUGGUGCAAACCACAAGACUGGAGGGCAGGCACCCACCUGCUUCGGCAGGUUCAAAACUACCCCACUAACGGCUCUGAAGGGUGCUU
rnacentral:other from 1 species